GAGCAGCACAUUUGCAUGCAGGGCCCCCUCCCUCCUCUGGGGCUGGAGGGUGGAUAAGAGACACCUGCAGCGUGGCAGCCUCAGCACAGCUCUGGGGCGUCUGCACCAUGGCCUGGGCCCCCCUCCUCCUCCUCACCCUCCUCCUCCACUGCACAGGGUCCCUCUCCCAGCUUAUGCCUACUCAGUCGCCCUCUGCAUCUGCCUCCCUGGGAGCCUCGGCCAAGCUCACCUGCACCCUGAGCAGUGGACACAGCGGCUACACCAUUGAAUGGUACCAGCAGCAGCCGGGGAAGGCCCCUCAGUAUGUGAUGUGGCUUAACAGUGAUGGAAGCUAUGGCAAGGGGGACGGGAUCCCCGAUCGCUUCUCGGGCCCCAGCUCCGGGGCUGACCGCUACUUAACCAUCUCCAACAUCCAGUCUGAGGACAAGGCUGCCUAUAUCUGUGGUGUAUCUCAUAGCAUUGGUGUGUCAUUUGGGUAA